UACCCGCUGGAAAUUAAGCAUAUCAAUAAGCGGAGGAAAAGAAACCAACAGGGAUUGCCCUAGUAACGGCGAGUGAAGCGGCAACAGCUCAAAUUUGAAAUCUGGCUCUUUUAGAGUCCGAGUUGUAAUUUGCAGAGGGCGCUUUGGCUUUGGCAGCGGUCCAAGUUCCUUGGAACAGGACGUCACAGAGGGUGAGAAUCCCGUACGUGGUCGCUGGCUAUUGCCGUGUAAAGCCCCUUCGACGAGUCGAGUUGUUUGGGAAUGCAGCUCUAAAUGGGAGGUACAUUUCUUCUAAAGCUAAAUAUUGGCCAGAGACCGAUAGCGCACAAGUAGAGUGAUCGAAAGAUGAAAAGCACUUUGGAAAGAGAGUCAAACAGCACGUGAAAUUGUUGAAAGGGAAGCGCUUGCAGCCAGACUUGCUUACAGUUGCUCAUCCGGGUUUUUACCCGGUGCACUCUUCUGUAGGCAGGCCAGCAUCAGUUUGGGCGGUAGGAUAAAGGUCUCUGUCACGUACCUCCUUUCGGGGAGGCCUUAUAGGGGAGACGACAUACUACCAGCCUGGACUGAGGUCCGCGCAUCUGCUAGGAUGCUGGCGUAAUGGCUGUAAGCGGCCCGUCUUGAAACACGGACCAAGGAGUCUAACAUCUAUGCGAGUGUUUGGGUGUCAAGCCCGAGCGCGUAAUGAAAGUGAACGGAGGUGGGAACCCGCAAGGGUGCACCAUCGACCGAUCCUGAUGUCUUCGGAAGGAUUUGAGUAAGAGCAUGGCUGUUGGGACCCGAAAGAUGGUGAACUAUGCUUGAAUAGGGUGAAGCCAGAGGAAACUCUGGUGGAGGCUCGCAGCGGUUCUGACGUGCAAAUCGAUCGUCAAAUUUGGGCAUAGGGGCGAAAGACUAAUCGAA
rnacentral:rRNA from 1 species